AUGCAUCUAGCCGUGCAUGCAUCGGAGACAGGGUUGGGCCCACAAUCUCCCCCUCAACCAUGUCGGAGGGUCUUGAUGUCGAUGAUCCCGAUCUUGUUGCGCGGUUCUUGGAACUCGACGCAACCAAGUACCUUCGUUGGGAUGUCCGCCUUCUCGGCGGCCCGUACGCCCUGUUCGUGCUUCUUGAUCUCGGGUGCUGCGAUCGUCUCGCGGGCUCGAGAAGGUCCCCCUAGGCUUCGGAACCUGUGUGGAUCGCCACCAUUUUUGUUGGCAUCGAACAAGUCCGACCGCGCUGUUGACGGGGACAUGAACUGCCCGGGAACCACCUCGCUCGUGGGCGUCAGUGUUCCUGGGGUCGUAGUUCCUGAUGUCACACUGCCCGGGAACUCCCUUCCCGGGGUCGUCGUGCCGGACGCCGCACUGCCCGGGAACUCCCUUCCCAGGGAUGACUUGUCGGACAUCGCACUACCCAGGAACUCCUUUCCUGGGGUCGUUGUGCCGGACGCCGCACUGCCCGGAGUGGCUCCUCUCAGGGUAGCGAAGUCCUUGGUGUUCUUCCCAUCAGACUUGCUUGUCGGGUCUCCUCCGACAGUUGUGAGUCGUGCCUUCCGCACGGACUCGAUGGACCCCGAGCGCGUCAGGGUUGCUGCGUGGCUGACCAUAGAGCACCGCGCCUCCUGCACAGCCUCGAUGGUCGCCAGAGUCACGGUCGAGGCCUUGUCCCCCCAUGACCGUCUCUUCAUGGCCUCCCAGCUGUUGAGGCCCGUCGAAGAGUGCCGUGUUGCCCACACGGGCUUGCAGAACCCCGAGAACCUGGUUGUCGGGGUAUGGCCGACCUGA
rnacentral:rRNA from 1 species